UGCGUCGUAGUCCGGAUUGGAGUCUGCAACUCGACUCCAUGAAGUCGGAAUCGCUAGUAAUCUGGAUCAGAAUGCCACGGUGAAUACGUUCCCGGGCCUUGUACACACCGCCCGUCACACCAUGGGAGUGGGUUGCAAAAGAAGUAGGUAGCUUAACCUUCGGGAGGGCGCUUACCACUUUGUGAUUCAUGACUGGGGUGAAGUCGUAACAAGGUAACCGUAGGGGAACCUGCGGUUGGAUCACCUCCUUACCUUAAAGAA
rnacentral:rRNA from 1 species